rnacentral:rRNA from 1 species
AUGCACGCUGGCGGCGUGCCUAAUACAUGCCAGUCGAGCGAACGGACGAGAAGCUUGCUUCUCUGAUGUUAGCGGCGGACGGGUGAGUAACACGUGGAUAACCUACCUAUAAGACUGGGAUAACUUCAGGAAACCGUAGCUAAUACCGGAUAAUAUUUUGAACCGCAUGGUUCAAAAGUGAAAGACGGUCUUGCUGUCACUUAUAGAUGGAUCCGCGCUGCAUUAGCUAGUUGGUAAGGUAACGGCUUACCAAGGCCACGAUGCAUAGCCGACCUGAGAGGGUGAUCGGCCACACUGGAACUGAGACACGGUCCAGACUCCUACGGGAGGCAGCAGUAGGGAAUCUUCCGCAAUGGGCGAAAGCCUGACGGAGCAACGCCGCGUGAGUGAUGAAGGUCUUCGGAUCGUAAAACUCUGUUAUUAGGGAAGAACAUAUGUGUAAGUAACUGUGCACAUCUUGACGGUACCUAAUCAGAAAGCCACGGCUAACUACGUG